GUGAGGAAUAUUGGUCAAUGGGCGGGAGCCUGAACCAGCCAAGUCGCGUGAAGGAAGAAGGAUCUAUGGUUCGUAAACUUCUUUUGCAGGGGAAUAAAGUGCAGGACGUGUCCUGUUUUGUAUGUACCCUGAGAAUAAGGAUCGGCUAACUCCGUGCCAGCAGCCGCGGUAAUACGGAGGAUCCGAGCGUUAUCCGGAUUUAUUGGGUUUAAAGGGUGCGUAGGUGGUUUGAUAAGUCAGCGGUGAAAGUUUGCAGCUUAACUGUAAAAAUGCCGAUGGAACUGUCGGACUUGAGUGUAAAUGAGGUAGGCGGAAUGCGUGGUGUAGCGGUGAAAUGCAUAGAUAUCACGCAGAACUCCGAUUGCGAAGGCAGCUUACUAAGCUACAACUGACACUGAAGCACGAAAGCGUGGGGAUCAAACAGGAUUAGAAACCCUUGUAGUCC
rnacentral:rRNA from 1 species